UACGUAGGGUGCGAGCGUUGUCCGGAAUUAUUGGGCGUAAAGAGCUCGUAGGUGGUUUGUUACGUCUGCUGUGAAAACCUAGGGCUUAACCCUGGGCUUGCAGUGGAUACGGGCAGACUAGAGGUAGGUAGGGGGAGAAUGGAAUUCCUGGUGUAGCGGUGAAAUGCGCAGAUAUCAGGAGGAACACCGGUGGCGAAGGCGGUUCUCUGGGCCUUACCUGACACUGAGGAGCGAAAGCGUGGGGAGCGAACAGG
rnacentral:rRNA from 1 species